UUUAUGGAGAGUUUGAUCCUGGCUCAGGAUGAACGCUGGCGGCGUGCCUAAUACAUGCAAGUCGAGCGAACAGAUGAAAAGCUUGCUUCUCUGAUGUUAGCGGCGGACGGGUGAGUAAC
rnacentral:rRNA from 1 species